rnacentral:rRNA from 1 species
AGCGUUGUUCGGAAUCACUGGGCGUAAAGCGCACGUAGGCGGAUCUGUCAGUCAGGGGUGAAAUCCCGGGGCUCAACCUCGGAACUGCCCUUGAUACAGCAUAUCUUGAGUCCGAUAGAGGUGGGUGGAAUUCCUAGUGUAGAGGUGAAAUUCGUAGAUAUUAGGAAGAACACCGGUGGCGAAGGCGGCCCACUGGAUCGGUACUGACGCUGAAGUGCGAAAGCGUGGGGAGCAAACAGG